rnacentral:rRNA from 1 species
GGGGCAACGUUGUCCGGAUUAUUGGGCGUAAGCGCGCGCAGGCGGUCCCUUAAGUCUGAUGUGAAAGCCCACGGCUUAACCGUGGAGGGUCAUUGGAAACUGGGGGACUUGAGUGCAGAAGAGGAGAGCGGAAUUCCACGUGUAGCGGUGAAAUGCGUAGAGAUGUGGAGGAACACCAGUGGCGAAGGCGGCUCUCUGGUCUGUAACUGACGCUGAGGCGCGAAAGCGUGGGGAGCAAACAGGAUUAGAUACCCUGGUAGUCCACGCCGUAAACGAUGAGUGCUAAGUGUUAGAGGGGUUAUUCCCUUUAUGGUGGWGCUUAAGCCUUAAGCACUCCCCCCGGGGAGGACCGGCGCCAGGGUGAAACCUCAGGGGAAUUGACCGGA